rnacentral:rRNA from 1 species
GACUCUCGACAACGGAUAUCUCGGCUCUCGCAUCGAUGAAGAACGUAUUGAAAUGCGAUACUUGGUGUGAAUUGCAGAAUCCCGUGAACCAUCGAGUCUUUGAACGCAAGUUGCGCCCGAAGCCAUCCGGCCGAGGGCACGUCUGCCUGGGCGUC